AUUGAACGCUGGCGGCAUGCUUUACACAUGCAAGUCGAACGGUAACAGGCCGCAAGGUGCUGACGAGUGGCGAACGGGUGAGUAAUGCAUCGGAACGUGCCCAGUCGUGGGGGAUAACUACUCGAAAGAGUAGCUAAUACCGCAUACGAUCUAUGGAUGAAAGCGGGGGACCGUAAGGCCUCGCGCGAUUGGAGCGGCCGAUGUCAGAUUAGGUAGUUGGUGGGGUAAAGGCUCACCAAGCCAACGAUCUGUAGCUGGUCUGAGAGGACGACCAGCCACACUGGGACUGAGGCACGGCCCAGACUCCUACGGGAGGCAGCAGUGGGGAAUAUUGGACAAUGGGCGCAAGCCUGAUCCAGCAAUGCCGCGUGCAGGAAGAAGGCCUUCGGGUUGUAAACUGCUUUUGUACGGAACGAAACGGCUCUGGUUAAUACCCGGGGCUAAUGACGGUACCGUAAGAAUAAGCACCGGCUAACUACGU
rnacentral:rRNA from 1 species